GGGAUAUUGCACAAUGGGGGGAACCCUGAUGCAGCGACGCCGCGUGGGCGAUGGAGUACUUCGGUAUGUAAAGCCCUAUCAGCAGGGAAGAAAAUGACGGUACCUGAAAAAGAAGCCCCGGCUAACUACGUGCCAGCAGCCGCGGUAAUACGUAGGGGGCAAGCGUUAUCCGGAUUUACUGGGUGUAAAGGGAGCGUAGACGGAAAGGCAAGUCAGGAGUGAAAGGCGGGGGCCCAACCCCCGGACUGCUUUGGAAACUGUAUGGCUGGAGUGCAGGAGAGGUAAGUGGAAUUCCUAGUGUAGCGGUGAAAUGCGUAGAUAUUAGGAGGAACACCAGUGGCGAAGGCGGCUUACUGGACUGUAACUGACGUUGAGGCUCGAAAGCGUGGGGAGCAAACAG
rnacentral:rRNA from 1 species